rnacentral:misc_RNA from 1 species
GUGAAUCAUCGAAUUUUUGAACACAAACUGCGCUUCCUGGCAUCCCGGGAAGUAUGCCUGUUUGAGGGUCAGUAUUAAUAAAAAACCGGUUUAGUUACAAAUUGUGACGUUUCGGGAGUUUGGGCUAUCUUAACAUUUUGGUUUAAGAGGCUUAAAAUUGACCUUUUUGGCGAAUUUAAAAACGUACAUAAUUUUUUUUUAUUGUUCUAUUCUUAUGGCAAAAAUCUUAUUAAAUGCGAU